rnacentral:rRNA from 1 species
UACAGAGGGUGCAAGCGUUAAUCGGAAUUACUGGGCGUAAAGCGUGCGUAGCCGGUUAUGUAAGUCGGGUGUGAAAGCCCCGGGCUCAACCUGGGAAUUGCAUUCGAGACUGCAUAGCUAGGGUGCGGAAGAGGGAAGCGGAAUUUCCGGUGUAGCGGUGAAAUGCGUAGAUAUCGGAAGGAACACCAGUGGCGAAAGCGGCUUCCUGGUCCAGCACCGACGUUCAGGCACGAAAGCGUGGGGAGCAAACAGG